rnacentral:tRNA from 1 species
GAGGGUAUAGCUCAAUUGGUAGAGCGCAUGCUUACCAUGCAUGAGGUCCUGGGUUCAAUCCCCAGUACCUCCA